rnacentral:rRNA from 1 species
GGGCCAUGUACGGGAGGGCGGCGGGGGUGAUGCUGAGGGUGGGAGGGUGGCGCGGAAUUAUUGGGCGGAAAGGGCGCGGAGGCGGUUUGUCACGUCGGGAGUGAAAACUCGGGGCUCAAGCCCGGGCCUGCUGCCGAUACGGGCAGACUAGAGGUAUGCAGGGGAGAACGGAAUUCCUGGUGUAGCGGUGAAAUGCGCAGAUAUCAGGAGGAACACCGGUGGCGAAGGCGGUUCUCUGGGCAUUACCUGACGCUGAGGAGCGAAAGUGUGGGGAGCGAACAGGAUUAGAUACCGGUAGUC